UACGUAGGGUGCGAGCGUUAAUCGGAAUUACUGGGCGUAAAGCGUGCGCAGGCGGCUAUGCAAGACAGAUGUGAAAUCCCCGGGCUCAACCUGGGAACUGCAUUUGUGACUGCAUGGCUAGAGUACGGUAGAGGGGGGAUGGAAUUCCGCGUGUAGCAGUGAAAUGCGUAGAUAUGCGGAGGAACACCGAUGGCGAAGGCAAUCCCCUGGACCUGUACUGACGCUCAUGCACGAAAGCGUGGGGAGCAAACAGG
rnacentral:rRNA from 1 species